ACUAGUAGACAGACAUAAGAUCACAUCUAUCAUAGGAAUAUGGCCAUACCUUCCCGGGCCUCUACCGCUUCUACUGUGGCUGUAAGAGGCAGGAGCAGUGGCAUGCAAAAAUGAAGACAGAAAAAGAAGAAACUACAACAUGGGAACAUCAGUGGAUUUAUAUAAGAAUAUCCAUCAUAGCAACGUCAACUAUAGAAAGAAACUGCAGGCGACACAGGUGUCCGCCAUCAAGAAUAAAUGACUACAAUGUCAGAGAUGUGAACUAUGGAACACUAUGCAGCAGGCAGAAAGCAAUGACCAGGAGAACUUGGAUGAAUCUAAAAAUAUCACGAUUCUGUGGACCAUGAAUUCAGCACUGGAAACAGUGGGGCUGACUUGUUUCUCUUCCAUGAUAUCGAGAGCUCCACCAGAUACUUGAUAGCCAGGAGCUGGAAUCAUCUGAAAGCUCACUCACUCACUCAUCGAGUGGUUAAGACGGGCUAUUGGCUGAGGCUUAGCUCAGGUUUGGAAUGAGAAGAUCUACACGUGGCCUGCUCACGUGACUGAGUUCCAAGAACAUGGAUCCCAAGAAAAAGAAAAAGCCAAGAGGAACCUGUAUCCUUUUUAUAUUCUAGCCUCAGAAAUCACAUCCUAUCACUCCCACCACACCCAGCUGGUUGGAACAGUAGCAAGCUUGCCCAAAUUCAAGGGGAGAGGAAAUGGAUUCCACCUAUUAAUGGAGGGUGGCAAAAUCCUGUGAGUAUCUCGACUAGAUAUACAGCUGUGGCCAUUUCUUGAAAAGGAGAAUCUGUCAUAUUUUCUCUAUUUCAAAGUAAAAAAAAUAGUAAGUUCCCAAUGCCUCUAACAAUACCUCUAAAUCAGAGCUCUUUUAAAAUUGUCCAUCCUAUAUUUUCUAAGCAAUUACCAAAUGAGAAUAUUUAUUCAUUUAUUAUAAGGAAAACAUUAG